GCAAUGUUAAUUGAUAUAAAAACAAUUAAGACAUGUAAUAAUUAAUAGAAGUGCCAAAAUUCAUGGUAAAAAAACAUGUUUGAGAUAAAAAUCAUUUUCGUGUGCAUUAUCAAGACUUGUCUUUCCACAGAAUAUAUCACAAUAUAAUAAAAUUAACUCAUGAUACACACCUUUACUUUUAGCUGGUGCUCACGUUCAAGUUCAAACAAAAUGCCUUCCUCAAUGCUUCUUUUGUACAACAAAUGGGAUUCAGUUGCUUCAGUAUGCAUUUCAUCAUCAGACUCUUCAGACUCACUGAAAUGGGAAAAUCAGUAUAUAUUUUAAAGGAAAGAUAAAACCUAUAUGCAAGAUGCAGACAGAGUAACAAGAUGCAACACAUCAAAAGAUAUGAUCAAAAGGCUUUUUAUUUUGUAGAUAUAAUUUCAUGAUAUAUGUUCCAAGAUAUAGUAGGAAAAAGCAAGUAAAAUCUACAGAAAAUAUCCAAAUAUCAUUACAGAUAUACACAAUAUUUGCAUUAUAAAUUUAACUACAUCACAGGCAUAAGCUCCACCAAUGGCAAAUAAUGAGUAUUAGAAUGUAAAAUUGUAGAAGUCAUAAAAGAUAACUCAAAGGUUUGCUCCCAUGAUCUACUCUUUUAUACAUCAGAAGUUCAUAUUUAUGCGCUCACAAGAUGCCCAUGGCUAUGUUGGCUAACUCUACAAUUGCAAUUGCAAUUUUACUAGCACUCAUUGCAUAACACACUACUUGUUAAACCUGCGAUAUGCCACCAUGUUAUCACAGGUGAGGCCACCAACCACAUAAGUUCACCUAAUUUUUUUCAUAUGUACAAAUCCUUUACAAUAAUCUAGUCUGCCAUGCAUCCCCAUGGUUUAUCAUGUGUCACCUGUAAUCUUUUACAAAUUAUUUUGGAUUUCUGAGAAGCUAAAUCUUGAUAUUCUUGCCAUAAUUCUAGAAAAUUCUUGAUAGCAUAUAAGAUAAUUCUCACUAGCAAACCAUUCUCCACCAUCAUACAUGCAAUUGAAAUUCACUAAGAUACCAGAGUUAGUAUUCCAUAUAAAAUCAUAUGCCAAAGAUAAUCAUCAUGAUGUUCGAAACAUCUCCUUCUACAUUGAUAGAAGAAAAGAAGCAACUUAUACCACAAGACUGCAAGAGAGCUCGAUAGGUCAACUUACACUUCAUGAAUCAUGAUAAAUUCAGCAAGCAACAGAAGAAUAUGAUGUAGCCCAAACUAAAUGUUGAUUCAUGGAUA
rnacentral:lncRNA from 1 species